rnacentral:rRNA from 1 species
GAUGAACGCUAGCUACAGGCUUAACACAUGCAAGUCGCGGGGCAGCAUGGGGGUUGCUUGCCACCCCUGAUGGCGACCGGCGCACGGGUGAGUAACGCGUAUCCAACCUGCCCUUCACCACGGGAUAACCCGGCGAAAGUCGGACUAAUACCGUAUGUUGUCCAUUGACGGCAUCCGAUUUGGACGAAAGGCUUGGCGGUGAAAGGAUGGGGAUGCGUCCGAUUAGCUUGACGGCGGGGUAACGGCCCACCGUGGCGACGAUCGGUAGGGGUUCUGAGAGGGUGGACCACCACAUGGGGACUGAGAUACGGGCCAGACUCCUACGGGGGGCAGGAGGGGGGAAUAUUGGAUAAUGGGGGGAAGCCCGAAGCAGCCAAGGUGGGGGGGGGAUGACGGCCUUUGGGUUGUAAAAUCUUUUUGUUAGGGGGGAAAAGGCGCCUUUUUUGGGGGUUUUGACGGUACCCGUGUGAAGAAGCACCGGCUAACUCCGUG